rnacentral:rRNA from 1 species
UACGUAGGGUGCAAGCGUUAAUCGGAAUUACUGGGCGUAAAGCGUGCGCAGGCGGCUGGGCAAGACAGAUGUGAAAUCCCCGGGCUCAACCUGGGAAUUGCAUUUGUGACUGCAUGGCUAGAGUGUGUCAGAGGGGGGUAGAAUUCCACGUGUAGCAGUGAAAUGCGUAGAGAUGUGGAGGAAUACCGAUGGCGAAGGCAGCCCCCUGGGAUAACACUGACGCUCAUGCACGAAAGCGUGGGGAGCAAACAGG